rnacentral:tRNA from 1 species
UCCGAUAUAGUGUAAUGGUUAACAUACCUCGCUCUCAUUGCAGGCGCCGAGGAGCUCGGGGUUCGAUUCCCCGUAUCGGAG